rnacentral:sRNA from 1 species
GUUUGCACUCAUCGGGGAAGGGUGAGAACCUUCGACUAAGGUUCGAUUCGAGCGAAAGCGAGAGAACGUUGCUACAGGCAACGGCCCGAAGGGUGAGGAGCGAAGCGACGAAUAAUCCUUCCCCCACCACCA